AAGUCGGGAGCAAAAGUAAACUAACAAGGGAUUCCCCUAGUAACUGCGAGUGAAGCGGGAAAAGCUCAAAUUUAAAAUCUGAGGGUCUUUAUGGCCUUCCGAGUUGUAAUCUAGAGAAGUGCUAUCCGCGCUGGACCGUGUACAAGUCUCCUGGAACGGAGCGUCAUAGAGGGUGAGAAUCCCGUCUUUGACACGGACUACCAGGGCUUAUGUGAUACGCUCUCAAAGAGUCGAGUUGUUUGGGAAUGCAGCUCUAAAUGGGUGGUAAAUUCCAUCUAAAGCUAAAUAUUGGCGAGAGACCGAUAGCGAACAAGUACCGUGAGGGAAAGAUGAAAAGAACUUUGGAAAGAGAGUUAAAAAGUACGUGAAAUUGUUGAAAGGGAAACGCUUGAAGUCAGUCGCAUUGGCCAGGGAUCAACCUUGCUUUUGCUUGGUGUAUUUUCUGGUUAAUGGGUCAGCAUCAAUUUUGAUCGGUGGAAAAAGAUCAAGGGAAUGUGGCAUCUUCGGAUGUGUUAUAGCCCUUGGUUGUAUGCAUCGAUUGGGAUUGAGGAACUCAGCACGCCGCAAGGCCGGGUUUUAACCACGUACGUGCUUAGGAUGCUGGCAUAAUGGCUUUAAUCGACCCGUCUUGAAACACGGACCAAGGAGUCUAACAUGCACGCGAGUGUUUGGGUGGAAAACCCGAGCGCGUAAUGAAAGUGAAAAUUGAGAUCCCUGUCGUGGGGAGCAUCGAUGCCCGGACCAGAUCUUUUGUGACGGUUCCGCGGUUGAGCGUGUAUGCUGGGACCCGAAAGAUGGUGAACUAUGCCUGAAUAGGGUGAAGCCAGAGGAAACUCUGGUGGAGGCUCGUAGCGAUUCUGACGUGCAAAUCGAUCGUCAAAUUUGGGUAUAGGGGCGAAAGACUAAUCGAACCAUCUAGUAG
rnacentral:rRNA from 1 species